rnacentral:rRNA from 1 species
CCUACGGGAGGCAGCAGUAGGGAAUAUUGCUCAAUGGGGGAAACCCUGAAGCAGCAACGCCGCGUGGAGGAUGAAGGUUUUCGGAUCGUAAACCUCUGUCAGCAGGGAAGAACGGUCACUGUGCUAAUCAGCAGUGAAUUGACGGUACCUGCAAAGGAAGCACCGGCUAACUCCGUGCCAGCAGCAGCGGUAAUACGGAGGGUGCGAGCGUUAAUCGGAAUUACUGGGCGUAAAGCGCUCGUAGGCGGUAUGUCAAGUCAAGGGUGAAAUCCCCGCGCUCAACGUGGGAACUGCCUUUGAAACUGGCAAACUGGAGUGUGUGAGAGGAUAGUGGAAUUCCAGGUGUAGGAGUGAAAUCCGUAGAUAUCUGGAGGAACAUCAGUGGCGAAGGCGACUAUCUGGCACAUAACUGACGCUGAGGAGCGAAAGCGUGGGUAGCAAACAGGAUUAGAUACCCUAGUAGUC